UCGAUUCUCCCCAAAUGGGACGCUGGCAGUGCGCUGUGCUCAACAGAGAUGCACUUUACUUCAACAGCUAACAGCUCAAGGGCUUUGAUAAAAAGAGGCUUAGAAGAGACUCCCGAGAUAAAGCAGGCCUGCUAACAAAAUGAACAGGAGGAGGAAGCACCCACCUCUGUCAAAGAGAAGUUAGUUUAUCCUUUCUGUCCAUGCUGCACAGAGAAGGGGAAGGUCAGAACAGAGAAUGGUAAGCCACAGGAAACUCCUGCAAGCUUUGGUGUGGUAAAGAGGGGCUGAGAUGAAUUCAGUGUCCUUUCCAUUCCUGUGGACUCUGCAGUCAAAGCCUCGUUAACAAGAUCAUGCCCAGAAACUCCAGAAGAGAUCUUGGGCCAUACAGAGGACAUCAUCAAAAAUACUGACUGCCCUGAAAUGGAAGAAGGGCCACUGUGCAUUACUGUUGAAGGAAAAGGUGGGCUGAGACAAAGUUCGUACUCCAGUGACAGACUGUCCACGACCCUCAGCACAGAAACGGCCUUUCACAAAUCUUCAGUUCUGCAGAGAAUCUCAGACUUAAUCUUAGCCAUCCGCAACCCACAGUCCCAUAUCAAGCAACUUAAGAACUGCUUGACAGAAGGACACGGGAGUCACAUGCUCUAUGUUAUACGCCACGAGAAUGUCAGUCUCUUGAAAAACGAAUGAACUUGGUCUAAUUCUAACCGUACCUCCAGUUUUUAGGACAGUACCACAGAAAGUGCUCAAUAAAUAUUCUCCUAUGAAAGAAGAAAGGACUACCUGACUCUUAAACCAGAGCAUCUAGUUUUACCUCCCUUGCUUCCGACAAUAUUCAUCUUCUACAAGGAAAAGGAAUUAUCAAAAACAUUAUGAAGCUCUUUUUUCUCUUCACUUCCCAAACAACUCAGCCCUAAAGACAUCCAUCUGAUGGGUCCAAGGAAAGUAGGAGACUACAGUGUGUGGGGGUGGGGAGGGAGUCCCAUGGGAUGUUACAGCACACGUGACAUACAGAGGGCACCCACAGUGAAAAUAUUUUUUUUAAAGAUUUAUUUAUUUGACAGACAGAGAUCACAAGUAGGCAGAGAGGCAGGUGGAUAGAGAGAGAGAAGUAAGCAGGCUCCCUGCAGAGCAGAGAGCCCAAUGUGGGGCUCAAUCCCAAGACCCUGGGAUCCUGACCUAAGCCGAAGGCAGAGGCUUUAACCCACUGAGCCACCCAGGUGCCCCCAAAGAAAAUAUUAAUACAGGAGGUCAUGUAACCUCUCCAAGCUUUCAGUGUACAUAAAAUGUGCUGAGUCAUCAUUACCGACGUGACCACCAUGACACUUUAUUUCCAGCAGGGAUGUCCAACAGACCCCUGACAUUCAGUGACUACAUUCCCAGUUUUGACUGUUCGGUAGCUGCCUCCAACGAUGUGUGUAAUGGUCUGGAAGUUCGCUGAGGCACUAGCUAUAAUCGCAGCACUACAAGACUGGUGUACGGACUGCAUCAUUUACCUGAUCCAUGGCCCUGGUCAAUCACCUGGCCUAAUACCAUAACCUCCUGCCAGUCACCUUUAGCCAAAAUUCAGAACAAGGAAAUUGAGAAAGAACCGCUCUUAGGCAACUGGCCAUUUUCUGACGUUCAGUCCCAUCACAGUGCUGGGAAGAUGCUCUUCACUACUAUCUUUUCCAUCUGAUGGCCACUUCGAUAUGAAGGUAUUACACACUCCAGCCACCACUCCUGUGGAGGAGACACUAAGCCAGGUGCAAAACUGUCUGUCUGUUCUUUGGACCCUUACUUGGACUAUUUCUAUGCGACAAAGAGUGAGUAACAUUGGAAACCACAUCAGGGAGACAAUUCUGACAAGAUUUUCAGAGAGGAAAUACACAGUGAAUAUACUUUAAAAUAAGAUGGUUUUUUAGCUAACAAAAACAAUCUGUGAUUUCUCUCAAAUGUGUGGUUCACUGAUGGGGGGUUUCUGUUUCACCUGGUGUUGGCUAGAAUCUUCACAACAGCCACAGUCCUGUGGCUGGCUAUGGACUGGGAGCUCAGCUAGUGCAAAGGGCCUUCAGGCCUCCUCCAUGUGGGACUCCUUUCUCCACAUGGCCUGUGGAUCUCCUUAGAGCUCAGUGCAUGGAUCCUAAGAAGGAGCAUUCCAAGAGACAGCAAACAGAAGCCCAUCAGCCACUCAACAAAUCUUUAUCUUACUGAAUAAGGGCAUCAGCUUCUAAAGAAACCCUUACUUCACUUUUUCUUGUUUAUCUGGCAUAAAUCCAGUUCUAAGAAUGUGACAUAAUGGGGCCCUGCAUGGCUCAGUCAGUUAAAUGUCUGCCUUCAGCUCAGGUCACGAUCCCAGGGUCCUGGGAUCAAGCCCCACGUUGGGCUCCCUGCUCAGCAGCCAGUCUGCCUCUCCCUCUCCCUGCUGUUCU